rnacentral:rRNA from 1 species
AAUCAACGCUGGCGGCGUGCCUAACACAUGCAAGUCGAACGCGAGAGGGGCUUCGGCCCCGAUUGAGUGGCGAACGGGUGAGUAACGCGUGGGUGACCUACCUUCGAGUGGGGGAUAACGUCCCGAAAGGGACGCUAAUACCGCAUAACAUCCUGCUUUUGAAUGGGUGGAGAUCAAAGCCGGGGAUCGCAAGACCUGGCGCUUGAUGAGGGGCCCGCGUCUGAUUAGCUAGNGGUGAGGUAACGGCCCACCAAGGCAACGAUCAGUAUCCGGCCUGAGAGGGCGGACGGACACACUGGGACUGAGACACGGCCCAGACUCCUACGGGAGGCAGCAGUGGGGAAUUGUUCGCAAUGGGCGCAAGCCUGACGACGCAACGCCGCGUGGAGGAUGAAGGUCUUCGGAUUGUAAACUCUGUUGCCCGGGACGAAUGGCUCCGACCUAACACGUCGGAGUGUGACGGUACCGGGUGAGGAAGCCCGGCUAACUCUGUGCCAGCCGCCGCCGUAAU